rnacentral:rRNA from 1 species
UACGUAGGGUGCAAGCGUUAAUCGGAGUUACUGGGCGUAAAGCGCGCGCAGGCGGCGGUGCUGGCCCGGCGUGAAAGCCCCCGGCUCAACCGGGGAGGGUCGUCGGGGACCGCACCGCUUGAGGGCGGUAGGGGCUGGUGGAAUGCCUGGUGUAGUGGUGAAAUGCGUAGAGAUCAGGCGGAACACCCGUGGCGAAGGCGGCCAGCUGGGCCGUCCCUGACGCUGAGGCGCGAAGGCGUGGGGAGCGAACGGG